rnacentral:rRNA from 1 species
GACGAACGCUGGCGGCGUGCUUAACACAUGCAAGUCGAACGGAAAGGCCCUGCUUUUGUGGGGUGCGCGAGUGGCGAACGGGUGAGUAACACGUGAGUAACCUGCCCUUGACUUUGGGAUAACUUCAGGAAACUGGGGCUAAUACCGGAUAGGAGCUCCUGCUUCAUGGUGGGGGUUGGAAAGUUUCGGCGGUUGGGGAUGGACUCGCGGCUUAUCAGCUUGUUGGUGGGGUAGUGGCUUACCAAGGCUUUGACGGGUAGCCGGCCUGAGAGGGUGACCGGCCACAUUGGGCCUGAGAUACGGCCCAGACUCCUACGGGAGGCAGCAGUGGGGAAUAUUGCACAAUGGGCGGAAGCCUGAUGCAGCACCGCCGCGUGCGGGAUGACGGCCUUCGGGUUGUAAACCGCUUUCGCCUGUGACGAAGCGUGAGUGACGGUAAUGGGUAAAGAAGCACCGGCUAACUACGUG